AAGAGGAGAACGACGCAUCCUCUCUUUUUCAUUUUCAACUCAUCAUCAUUUCACACCACAAAAAGCCAUAAAAUCACCCUAUUUCCUCCAUAAAACCCACUUGAAAACCUCUAUUAACACCCACUGCAAUGAUCAGUAACUAAAGCACCACAAAAUACCAUAUAAAUUUCAUCCAAAGACCACCGUAAACCUCCAUUAGAACCAGCUUCCUCCCACCACAAAACCAACCUAAAAAUGAGCUCGAAUUCACCCCAAAAACAACCUCAAAAAAGCUCCAAAACAUGAGCUAAAAUGUGUCCCAAAGUAAGUGGUAAACCACCACCAAAUCAGCUCCAAAACCCCAUUAAAACCAGCGUAAAUGAAGCUCCAAAACAUAGCUAGAACAACCCUGAAAUUAAACUCAAAAUUGACCUCAAACCAGCCCCGAAACGACUGUGUUACUGCUGGAAAAUCAGUCACAAAACAGCCUUGAAACCAAACUAGCUUAAGAUUCUACUCUCUUGCUCUACUUUUUUCUGGACUUUCAAGUGCGAACAAGUUUGAGAAGUGUGAUUUGCUGCUAUUGAUUGCUGAAAUUUUGCUGAGGUUCGGUUGAGUUUGUCUCGACUUUUAGUCAAUUUAUUUAAGUUUUCUUGUUCAACCAGGUUAGUUUUGAAGAUUC
rnacentral:lncRNA from 1 species